rnacentral:ribozyme from 1 species
UGCCCAGCAACUCAUAUCCCUACCUCCUCGUGGUACCGGCCGGAAACUAUGAGCAACCUUAGGGAAGAUCGGGUAACCAACCCCGGUGGGAACUUUGGUCGUAGGCUGACAGGGAAGG